AAGUCACCAUGUUUGACUAUCUAUCGGCAAGGGUUUUUGCUCAUUCUCGCUUAAGAUUUUGAGAAACUCGAGCUUUCGACCCCUUCCUUUCCUCUUCUCGUCUCCCUCCUCACUCCGAUCUCAGAAUGGAUUCUCAGAUUAAGCAUGCUGUUGUCGUCAAAGUCAUGGGUCGAACUGGGUCGAGAGGGCAGGUGACUCAGGUGAGAGUUAAGUUCUUGGACGACAUGAACCGGUUCAUCAUGAGGAAUGCGAAGGGACCGGUGAGGGAAGGAGAUGUCCUCACCCUUCUGGAGUCCGAGAGAGAAGCAAGGAGGCUUCGUUGAGCCAUCGCUUUUACGUGUUCCCUGAAUUUUGGUAUGACUACACCGGGGUUUUCUGCUACUGGUUGAUCCAACGUGAGAGUGUCGAAUUUUACUUUCAGUUUACAAAAACCUUAUCGAAGCAACAAUUGAAAAUUAUUGAGGAUCAAAAACUAGAAGGGCGAGAAUGAUUU